UUCCUAAUGAAUCUUUUAAAAAUAUUUGCAAAAUACGUGUAAAAUUGCAUUGCUGAGGUUUCAUGAAGCUGCAAAACAAGGCGGCUCAUUUUAAACAAUGCUUGGGAGAGACGGUGCAGCAGCUGCCAGGCAAACACAAGACAAAAUGCCAUGUUGUCUGAAGCUUCAACUGCACCACAGGCACUCUGCAAAAAUAUCUUCUUACAGCUACAAGGGCUUCACCCCCACUAUAUUUGACUGUGUUGGGAGCUCGAGCACAGGCACUUCACUGGUGUAAAUCCUCAUGGAAGACAUUGCAGCUAUGACAACUUACACCAGCACCUGAGCUUCCCUGGAAAUAACACAACAAAGCACCAAUGUUAGUGACCAGUAGAGAAUUAUUAAAGGAACACAGAUAAUUGGAAGAAAAUAAAUGACCUGGGUAGAAGAGCUACUAUAAAAUGAA